AGAGUUUGAUCGUGGCUCAGAAUGAACGCUGGCGGCGUGCCUUACACAUGCAAGUCGGAUGUGUCGCAAGACACAUGGCAGACGGGUGAGUAACACGUGGGAAACUUACCUCUUAGUGGGGAAUAACGCUCCGAAAGGAGCGGUAAUACCGCAUGAGACCUAUCGCUGGGAUGCGAUAGAUGAAAGCUGGGGAUCGUAAGACCUAGCGCUGAGAGAGAGUCCUGCGUCUGAUUAGUUAGUUGGUGAGGUAACGGCUCACCAAGACUUCGAUCAGUAGCCGGCCUGAGAGGGCGAUCGGCCACACUGGAACUGAGACACGGUCCAGACUCCUACGGGAGGCAGCAGUGGGGAAUCUUGCGCAAUGGGCGAAAGCCUGACGCAGCAACGCCGCGUGGGUGAUGAAGGUCUUCGGAUUGUAAAACCCUGUCGUUAGGGACGAAGGCAUGAAUCCUAAUACGAUUCAUGUUUGACGGUACCUAGAAAGGAAGCCCCGGCUAACUCUGUGCCAGCAGCCGCGGUAAUACAGAGGGGGCAAGCGUUAUUCGGAAUUAUUGGGCGUAAAGGGUGCGUAGGCGGUUUUUUAAGUCAGAUGUGUAAUCCCCGAGCUCAACUUGGGAACUGCAUCUGAAACUGGAAGACUAGAGUGCUGGAGAGGAUGGUGGAAUUCCACGUGUAGCGGUGAAAUGCGUAGAGAUGUGGAGGAACACCAGUGGCGAAGGCGGCCAUCUGGACAGUAACUGACGCUGAAGCACGAAAGUGUGGGUAGCAAACAGGAUUAGAUACCCUGGUAGUCCACACCGUAAACGAUGAACACUUGGUGUAGUGGGCGUUGACCCCCACUGUGCCGUAGCUAACGCGAUAAGUGUUCCGCCUGGGGAGUACGGUCGCAAGGCUGAAACUCAAAGGAAUUGACGGGGGCCCGCACAAGCGGUGGAGCAUGUGGUUCAAUUCGACGCAACGCGAAGAACCUUACCUGGGCUUGAACUGUAAUGGACCGUGGCAGAGAUGUCACUUUUCGCAAGAACUGUUAUAGAGGUGCUGCAUGGCUGUCGUCAGCUCGUGCCGUGAGGUGUUGGGUUAAGUCCCGCAACGAGCGCAACCCCCAUCACUAGUUGCCAUCAGGUAACGCUGGGAACUCUAGUGAAACUGCCGUCGUAAGACGUGAGGAAGGAGGGGAUGAUGUCAAGUCAUCAUGGCCUUUAUGCCUAGGGCUACACACGUGCUACAAUGGGAAGGACAAAGGGUCGCGACAUAGUGAUAUGAAGCCAAUCCCAAAAACCUUCUCUCAGUUCAGAUUGGAGUCUGCAACUCGACUCCAUGAAGCUGGAAUCGCUAGUAAUCGUAUAUCAGCAAUGAUACGGUGAAUACGUUCCCGGACCUUGCACACACCGCCCGUCAAGCCAUGGAAGCUGGGUGUACCUAAAGUCGGUAACCGAAAGGAGCCGCCUAGGGUAAAACUAGUGACUGGGGCUAAGUCGUAACAAGGUAACCGUA
rnacentral:rRNA from 1 species